rnacentral:Y_RNA from 1 species
GGUUGGUCUGAGUGCAGUGGUGUUUACAACCAGUUACAGAUUCCUUUGUUCCUUCUCCACUCCCACUGCUUCACUUAACCAGCCUUUA